UUAUGUAUCUUCAUUUAUACAUGUGUGUUUGUUUGUCUAUCUGUCAAACUGUUUUUGGAAAAUCCUCAGAAGACGGAAAAAUUGAAUCUUCUAUUGAAUUUUAAAAUCAGACAGUUGCGAGAGAACGAACAGAGCGGUAGAAGGAAAAAAGUUGGUUUUGUUAGAAAUAUUAUUAUUAAAAGAUACAAAAUAAUGAAAUCAAAUAAGAAAAGUGGAAAAAAUUAAAUAAAAACCAACAGAAUUUUGCUACAACGAAGAAAUUUAUAGAAAACAAAAACGCGUUUUAAAAUCGACCAAAUUAAAGGAAUAGAAAAAAGUUUAAAUAAAAAAGUAAAGAAAGUCGAGUAAUUAGAAAAUAAUAUGUGGUGAUGCACAACAGUGAUUAAAAACGAAAAAAACAACAAUAAAAACCAUACCACAAAAUAGUGCUCAAAGUGUAACAGUAUGUGUAAAAUUUGCUAAAGAAAAACAACAA